rnacentral:rRNA from 1 species
UGUUUGAUGUUCUAACGUGGACCCGUAAUCCGGGUUGCGGACAGUGUCUGGUGGGUAGUUUGACUGGGGCGGUCUCCUCCUAAAGAGUAACGGAGGAGCACGAAGGUUGGCUAAUCCUGGUCGGACAUCAGGAGGUUAGUGCAAUGGCAUAAGCCAGCUUGACUGCGAGCGUGACGGCGCGAGCAGGUGCGAAAGCAGGUCAUAGUGAUCCGGUGGUUCUGAAUGGAAGGGCCAUCGCUCAACGGAUAAAAGGUACUCCGGGGAUAACAGGCUGAUACCGCCCAAGAGUUCAUAUCGACGGCGGUGUUUGGCACCUCGAUGUCGGCUCAUCACAUCCUGGGGCUGAAGUAGGUCCCAAGGGUAUGGCUGUUCGCCAUUUAAAGUGGUACGCGAGCUGGGUUUAGAACGUCGUGAGACAGUUCGGUCCCUAUCUGCCGUGGGCGCUGGAGAACUGAGGGGGGCUGCUCCUAGUACGAGAGGACCGGAGUGGACGCAUCACUGGUGUUCGGGUUGUCAUGCCAAUGGCACUGCCCGGUAGCUAAAUGCGGAAGAGAUAAGUGCUGAAAGCAUCUAAGCACGAAACUUGCCCCGAGAUGAGUUCUCCCUGAGACUUAG